rnacentral:rRNA from 1 species
UCCGGUUGAUCCCGCCGGAGGUUACUGCUAUCGAGGUUCGACUAAGCCAUGCGAGUCGAAUGUAGCAAUACAUGGCGUACUGCUCAGUAACACGUGGACAACCUACCCUUGAGACGGGGAUAAACCCGGGAAACUGGGUAUAAUACCCGAUAGAUCUCGACUGCUGGAAUGCAUCGAGCUCCAAAGCUCCGGCGCUCAAGGAUGGGUCUGCGGCCUAUCAGGUAGUAGUGGGUGUAGCGUACCUACUAGCCUACGACGGGUACGGGUUGUGAGAGCAAGAGCCCGGAGAUGGAUUCUGAGACACGAACCCAGGCCCUACGGGGUGCAGCAGGCGCGAAAACUUUACAAUGCUGGAAACAGCGAUAAGGGGACCUCGAGUGCCAGGUUACAAAUCUGGCUGUCGUGAUGCCUAAAAAGCAUUGCAUAGCAAGGGCCGGGCAAGACCGGUGCCAGCCGCCGCGGUAACACCGGCGGCUCGAGUGGUAACCGUUAUUAUUGGGUCUAAAGGGUCUGUAGCCGGCCGGAUAAGUCUCUUGGGAAAUCUGGCAGCUUAACUGUCAGGCUUUCAGGAGAUACUGUCAGGCUCGAGGCCGGGAGAGGUGAGAGGUACUUCAGGGGUAGGGGUGAAAUCUUGUAAUCCUUGAAGGACCACCAGUGGCGAAGGCGUCUCACCAGAACGGACCUGACGGCAAGGGACGAAAGCUAGGGGCACGAACCGGAUUAGAUACCCGGGUAGUCCUAGCCGUAAACGAUACUCGCUAGGUGUCGGCCACGGUGCGACCGUUGUCGGUGCCGUAGGGAAGCCGUGAAGCGAGCCACCUGGGAAGUACGGCCGCAAGGCUGAAACUUAAAGGAAUUGGCAGGGGAGCACCACAACGGGUGGAGCUUGCGGUUUAAUUGGAUUCAACGCCGG